rnacentral:lncRNA from 1 species
GUCAGGGGCGCUCCAGAGCAGCCCCGGUGCCCACGUCUCAUCGCAGCCCUCUGGCAGGACAGCGCGCGUCUAAACUAAGCCGAGGCGCACUUCGCUAAGGGGACCUCUCCGUUUGGACAAUCCCGACGCCCGGCUCUACGUGAGGCGUUUUUCCCUCGUUCUCAUUCAUGGGCGGCGCUGGGCAUUCUCUGCCAUCCUUAGGGGUCCUCCACAGCAUGCGGGAGGCCGGCGCCCCAGGGCUCUUUCACCCCCCGCUGCUCUCGUUCCUCCACGUGUUCUCCCGAGCGACCCACCCGCGUUCAUGGUCCCAAACCCCCACCUAACCUCCAGCCAGCGCCCUUCUCCCGAGCUCCAGGCCCCUCCAGCUCCAGUGUGGGCAUCGUCCCCUGGUUCUCCUCAAGUCCACUUACACUCAGCCUCUUCCAGGCGGAAUUCCUCAUCUCCCACACAACCCUUUGCCGCUCUGGUAUCAGCUGGUGGCUUCUCCGUGGCCAUGCAGAGAAUAGAGACAGAACUUGAAACUGAUGUGCACAUGAGUGAGAUUCUUCAGCAAGGUGACAGACAGGAGGGUAAAGAGGAAGUAGGAUGAGCUCUUUGCUUUGAGUUUCUGUUUUCCAGGUCGGCUUGAUUGGAAAGAGGGAUGGCCGUGGUGAGAGUUGACAGUGUGCUGGUAGCCCUCGCAGCCCACGCUCGCUCUCGGCGCCUCCUCUGCCUGGGCUCCCACUUUGACGGCACUUGAGGAGCCCUCCAGCCCGCCGCCGCACUGUGGGAGCCCCUUGCUGGGCUGGCCGAGACCGGAGCCAGCUCCCUCAGCUUGCAGGGAGGUGUGGAGGGAGAGGCAUGGGCGGGAACCAGGGCUUCGCGGGUGCCUGCGGGCCAGCACGAGUUCCGGGUGGGCGUGGGCUCAGCGGGCCUCACACUGGGAGCCGCAGGCCGGCUCGCAAGUCCCGGGCAGUGAGGAGCUUACUACCCGGGCCAGCAGCUGCGGAGGGUGUGCCGGGUCCCCCAGCAGUGCCGGCCCACCGGCUCUGUGCUGGAUUUCUUGCCGUGCCUUAGCUGCCUCCCCUCGGGCAGGGCUGGGGACCUGCAGCCUGCCAUGCCUGAGUCUCCCUCCGCACUGCCAGAUGCUCCUGCCGGGCCUGAGUCUCCCCGACGAGCGCUGCCCCAUGUUCCACGGCGCCCGAUCCCAUCCACUGCCCAAGGUCUGAGGAGUGCCAGCGCACGGCGACGGAGUGGCAGGCAGCUCCACCUGCGGCCCCGGUGUGAGAUCCACUGGAUGAAGCCAGCUGGACUCCUGAGUCUGGUGGGGACUUGGAGAAUCUUUAUGUCUAGCUGGGGGAUUGUGAAUGCACCAAUCAGCACUCUGUAUCUAGCUCAAGGUUUGUAAACACACCAAUCAGCACCCUGUGUCUAGCUCAGGGUUUGUGAAUGCACCAAUCGACACUCUGUUUCUAGCUAAUUUAGUGGGGCCGUGGAGAACUUUUGUGUCGAACUCAGGGAUUGUAAACGCACCAAUCAGCACUCUGUCAAAAUGGACCAAUCAGCUCUCUGUAAAACAGACCAAUCGGCUCUCUGUAAAAUGGACCAAUCAGCAGGAUGUGGGUGGGGCCAGAUAAGAGAAUAAAAGCAGGCUGCUCCGCGCUAGCACUAGCAAGUUGCUAGAGUGGCCUGCCACAGUGUAAGUUUUGUUCUUUAGCUCUUUGCAAUAAAUCUUGCUACUGCCCACUCUUUGGGUUUACACUGCAUUUAUGAGCUGUAACACUCAUGGUGAAGAUUUACAGGUUCAGUCCUGAAGCCAGCGAGACAAAGAACCCACUGGGAAGAACAAACAACUCCAGACGCCCCAACUUAAGAGCUGUUAACACCCGAAGAUCUGCAGCUUCACUUUUGAGCCAGCGAGACCACGAACCCACCAGAAGGAAGAAACUCUGAACAGGCUGGAACGUCAGAAGGAACAAACUCAGGACAUGCCACCUUUAAGAACUGUAACACUCACUGUGAGGGUCUGCGGCUUCAUUCUUGAAGGCUGUGAGACCAAGAACCCACCAAUUUCGGACACACUGGGACCACCCUCGCUGACUGGAGGUGGUACGGUUCAUCUGGACCAGCCUCUGAUGUGGGGAAGACCAAGCGAGAGCACACUGCGGAGAGUGAGUCCUGGUCGGUUUGGGUAUGGCUCUCAGCAGACUGACCCACGAGGGCCAGCAGCUGCUGGAUUUAAUUCGCUGAUUUUGUAUGAACUGUAGAUUUCCCUGGGAAAUCUGCUAUGCACACACAAGUGAGAAGGCAACCAUGAGAAGGAGGCCAGGGCUGAGGCUCUGCAAGUGCACACGGCUCGUUGCAGAAAAGCACGCGCCUCCCAGCAGGACUGUUAGCCCAGAGAGGAAGCCUGCUGGGGUUUGAGCUCAUU